GUCAAGACAAAGGUUCAGUACACGAUACUGCUUGAAUUUUUGUUUAAAAAAUCAUUAUGAAAUUUUUCAUGUUGAUCAAUGCCGCACGGAGCAAUCGUCACAUUACUUCCACAGUCGCUUUCAUUGGGAAUCUUAAUUUGAAAUAGUUGUUACCGUUGAAAAAUCCACAGAGCAAUCGACGAAAAAACAGGGCUAUCGUCGGGCAUAACGCUGACCCUAAAACAAUCCGACCAAAAAAAAAUGUGGAACAAUUAGUAUUUCGUCAGCUUGUACAUCGACCAUUGGACAGCCACUGAUUGACCUACAACCAUAGGCCAUUCGAGGCGAAAAACGAGUUGUCAGCUGGAUGAAUGUGGAAAAUUGUUGGUCCAACACGGCGAGAGGACAAAACCGCUAUUCAAACAGUUGCAAUUAAUCUCUGGAAAAACGAAGUAAAACAUCACCAAAACGUACCCUGCAAUUCCAAAAGUUACUGGUACACUUGAUAGACGUAGAUUUACAUAGAUAUAUAUCAUAGUAAAUCGUGUGAGUAACGUCUGGGCAUUGGUGAGCAAAAGUACUUUUCAUUUCCUUCGUCACAGGGCAUUUACAAUGUCCUCGGGCCAACAUUUAUUAUUAAGAAUAAUAAAUCUAUAUGUACAUAUUAAUUCUUCUCUUUAUGAAUCAUUUAUAUCCACUGAUCGAUUAUUACCCAUUUACAUGUCAUCUCGACAAUAAUUUUUUUUUUUCACUCCAGCGCAGAGUCAUCAUGUACCCAGUUAUUGAAUAUUUUCUUGUCGCACUAUAAUUCAACGAUCUCGUUACUAAAAACUUUGGUUACGCAAAAAUAGACGCUGAUAUAUAUAAUAUAUUCAUAUAUUCAUUAGCACUCGUCACCACCACUGCAUCUGCCAAUGAGCGACUAUAAACAAAUUUACAGUAAUUACAAUGAUAAUUAGUUGAAUUGAGAUAUGAUUAUAAUUUAAUAAUUAUGUGUGUGAGUGUACAUAGACCGAUUACAUGAGAUUAAUUUAAAA